GCUGUCGGUCUUUAUAGCCACAUUCAGGAUGUGGAUAGGCUCGUCCUGCACGCUCUGGAUGACAAAGCAAUUACACAUUUCAUUCUAAGGUACACAGCCACACCGGUCAAUGACCACCAGACGUCUGUUCUCCUCACCUUGUUGUCCUCUUCGCCAUACAGGACAGGAUUACCUCCCUCUGGGAAGGUAGGACUUGAUGGCGGAGAGUCAGAGAAGCAGCU